UUCCCGGUUGCUACCUGCUCUCGGUGAAAUGGAUAUGAUGGUGAAAUGGCUCCCUCCGGUUCAAAUAUUGAGCAGCAAGCCUUUGACGGUAUUAAUACAUCGGCCGCAAUUGAUCCAGACAGCGCAGCCGAUGGUAAAACAAGAUCCAUCUCCAACAUUUUUUAUGAGAAAUCAAAAUUUUAGAGAGACUUAUCUCUAUUUUAAAUGGUAAUAUAUGCCAUGAUAGUAACAUAUUAC